CUUAUACUCCCUCCGUUCGGAAUUACUUGUCUCGGAAAUGGAUGUAUCUAGAACUAAAAUACAUCUAGAUACAUCCAUUUCUAUGACAAGUAAUUCCGAACGGAGGGAGUAUCUU
rnacentral:pre_miRNA from 1 species